GAAAUAAAGGGGGGUUUGUAGCCACAAAAGGGUGCAAGCAGGGCGUCUUCCGUUGCUGCCUGAAAGUGGCCUUUUUCUUGCCGUCCCUCCUGCCCUUUCCCCCCUCCGGCAGUCCCACUUUCUGAAAGUGACUACAGACAGGUGGAAGAGAGCCUCACUCCUCGCCAGUUAUCCCAAAGGGGGAACUGGCUGCUGUGGUCUUUGGGGGGGACUCCGGUUCUACCUCAGCCGGCCGCAUUUCCUAGGCCGCUCUGAGGCCUAGCGCUCGAGGGCCAGCUCAGGGUUUCUAAUGGUUUUAUUUUUGCUGGCGUGCCCCUGUUUUUAAGGGGGUUAUUUCUCAGGCUUGCUUUUGAAUUUUAUUUUGCACGCUGCGUCGUGCUUUUCAGAGAAAACGUAGCCGCUUGAAGCUCGGGGGCUUGGCGGGGUCCGGAAGGCCGGGUUGGCGGUCUCGAGGAAGGCGUCAGCCAUGCCUGAGUGAGGAGGAAUAAGGAAGUUCGGGGAAAUGCAAUGUGCAAACAACAAGUUUGCUGUCUUCUGGGCCCACGACCUCCCCAAGGGAUGAACGGCUCGGCUCCUGAGCUUUUCCUGAGCCCCUGUGUCCAGAAACGCCGGUGCUUGUCGGCUGUGGAGCCCGUUUCCCCUCCUGCUGAAGGAGACUGGCUGGCGGCAGAAGAGGAAGAUGAGUUCCUAGGGGUGCAGCUGCGAAGGCCAAGCACCUUCCGGGCUUCUUCCCAUGCUUACGACGCCUUCCGAAGGCACAGCUGGGAGCCCGGGAAAGUGCUGGAUGAGGAAUCGGAGUUGGAUCAGCGAAGUGUGAGUUUCAAAGGAUUAGCCCCCGAAGAGAUUGACUCCUCCUCUACUGAGCAACUGAAUCGGCAUCCCCAGGACAGAAGGGACCCCCGACGCGUCCCCAUCAUCCGUAGCAAUGAUGAGUCCUUGCUCUCUCAGGACGAAGACGAUGACGAUGAUGACAUGGAAGUGGCUCAGAAACAUUCCCAGAGGAUGCAAGCAUUUCGGGCGCCCUCGGGUUCUGCCUGUGGCUCUCUCUCCAAGUCUAUUUCCAUGAGUGGCAUUGACAGCUACCCAGAUGCCGAUGAAAUCUCGCUUUAUUCGGACACAGUGGAUCUGGCCAACGGCUUCAGCACCGGCAGCUGUGGGCGCCUGGACGGCAUCACGGACGAGGCCAAGGACCCGGACGACCCACAGAGGAGCACCCUGGGGCGGACGCUCAGCUUCCUCAAAAAGAUGACUGGGAAGUCCAAGAACAAAGAGAAGGAAAGGAUGAAGGAGAGCAAAGACCGCGACGCGCGUUACACCAACGGGCACCUCUUCACCUCCAUCACGGUCUCGGGCAUGACCAUGUGCUUCGCCUGCAGCAAGAGCAUCACGGCCAAGGAGGCGCUGAUCUGCCCCACCUGCAACGUCACCAUCCACAACCGCUGCAAAGACACACUGCCCAACUGUACCAAGGUCAAGCAGAAGCAGCAAAAGGCAGCCUUGCUGAAGAACAAUUCAGCCCUGCAGACGGUGUCCCUGAGGAACAAGUCGACCAUCCGAGAGCGUCCGAAUUCUGCCAUCUACCCCUCGGAGAGCUUCCGCCAGACCCUGCUUGGCUCCCGCCGGGGGCGGCCCACCUUAUCCCUUUCGAAAAGUGUCUCCACCACAAAUAUUGCAGGGACGUUCAAUGAUGAGUCUCCCCUGGGCAUCCGGAGGAUCCUUUCCCAGUCCACCGAUUCCCUGAACAUGCGCAACCGCACGCUCUCGGUAGAGUCCCUCAUUGACGAAGGUGCCGAAGUCCUCUAUAACCAGCUGAUGAGCGGCUUUGAGACCGACGAGAAGGACUUUGAAGCUGAUUCCUGGAGCCUGGCCGUCGACAAUAAUUACCUGCAGCAGCACAAGAAGGAAGUCAUGAAGCGGCAAGACGUCAUCUAUGAGCUGAUCCAGACCGAGCUGCACCAUGUGCAGACCCUGAAGAUCAUGGCCAACGUCUUCCGCAAGGCCAUGCUAGAGGACCUCCAGAUGGACGCGGCCGUGGUGCACAGCAUGUUCCCCUGCUUGGACGAGCUCAGCGAGAUCCACGACCGCUUCCUCGUCCAGCUGCUGGAACGCCGCAAGGACUCCCUGGCCACCGACAGCAACAAGAACUUUGUCAUCAACCGGCUGGGAGACAUCCUGGUCCAGCAGUUUUCUGGGACCUGCGCCGAGCAAAUGAAGAAUGCCUACUCGGAGUUCUGCAGCCGCCACACCAAGGCCGUGAAGCUCUACAAAGAGAUUUAUGCCCGGGACAAGCGCUUCCAACAGUUCAUCCGGAGGAUGACGCGGUCGGCAGUGCUGCGGCGUCACGGCGUCCAAGAGUGCAUCCUCCUGGUCACCCAGCGCAUCACCAAAUACCCUGGGCUUAUCAACCGAAUCCUGCAGAACUCCAAAGGGAACGAAGCCGACCAGCAGGACCUGAGCAACGCCCUGGCCUUGAUCAAGGACCUGAUUUCGGCCAUCGACCAGGAGGUGCACGACUACGAGAAGAACGCCCGCCUGCAGGAGAUCUACAGCCGGAUCGACGGGCGGGCCAAGGUCCCCCUGGAGCGGGUGGGGUCCUUCUGCAAGGACGAGAUCAUGCGGCGGAAGCUGGUCCACGAUGGCUGCAUGCUCUGGAAGAUGGCGACCGGGCGCUUCAAAGAUGUCCUGGUUCUUUUGAUGACGGAUGUUCUCAUCUUCCUCCAGGAGAAGGAUCAGAAGUACACCUUCCCCACCUUGGACAAGCCGGCAAUCAUCUCACUCCAAAACCUGAUUGUCCGAGACAUCGCCAACCAGGAGAAGGGUAUGUUCCUCAUCAGCAACACCCCGCCGGAGAUGUACGAGGUGCACACCGCCUCCCGGGACGAGCGGAACACCUGGAUGAGGUGCAUCCAGCAGGCGGUCAAGCUGUGCCCGGACCGGGCCGAUUUCCCGCUCAUUGAGACGGAGAACGAAGCCUCGCUGCGGAAGCUGAAAGACAGGGUCCUGCAACGGGACCGCGAAAUAGCAGAACUCCUGGAGGACAAAGUGGGGCUCUUCACCGACAUCCUGGCCCUUCAGAGCAGCGGCGAGGACGGACCCCUGCCCGCUGUGAACCCUCGCACCCUUUUCCGCACCGAGUCCUCGGACACCCCCCGCGGCGAGAAGCUAAUCCAGGAGGCUGUCAAAGAAGUGGAGCUUCUGAAAGAUCUGUUUGUGGGACCCGGCUGGGAUCGAGACCAAAACCACACUCAGGGCUUGAAUGGCUGCUGUAGCCCAAACCCCAGUAAUACCACAAAUGGGGAGACCGGAAGCAUCAAUGGCUCGCUUGAUUUCAACAGGGUUGACUCCAACUCCAGCCAACAGCGGCCAGGUUGGAUUUUGGGCCCAUCUCGACAGCUUGCCUUUGGGAUCUUCUGGGGAAAGGCUGCUGUUUUUCUCGACUGCCACCCGCUGACCCCUUUGCGUUCUGUUCCCGCAGGAUGGGAACGGGAACCAGCUGCAGCAGAGACCCCCGCAGGAGGAGGUGCUGCAGCGUCUCAAGAGCCUAUAUUCUCUGCUCCACAGCCUGCAGGAAGUGGUGGUGCAUCAGGACAGCCUUCUGGAGCUCCAGCUGCAGGAGGCGGGAGAGCGGCGGGAGCGGCUGGGCCGCACCAACUCCCGCAAGGAAGCCUCGGCCGCCACGGCGGAGAGGCAGGCCACGGACCUCUCCCUGCUGCAGAAGCAGCACACCCUGCUGCAGGAGGAGCUGAGCCGCAGCCGGCUGCUCUGCCAGGAGAAGGCCCAGGAGGUGGCGGCCCUGGAGGCGCGGCUGCGGGACAGCGAACAGGAGCGGCUGCGGCACGAGCGGGAGGCGGAGGAGGCGCGCCGGCAGCUGGCGGCCCUGCGGCAGCCCAUGGAGGCAGCCUGGGUCCGCAAGGGGGCGGAGCCCCGGAGGCGGAGCUUGCCCGCGGGCGACGCCCUCUACCAAAGUUUCACUCCGCCACCGCUGCAGAGCCGAGGGGGCGACCCCCACUCUCCCGGCUUCCACCGGACCUUCGCCAGUUGCCAGCGAGAUGAGUUCAGCUACCACGGUGUACCCGGCCGGCUCCAGGAGGGCGACCAAGGCUUGGAGGUGCUCUUGGACGAAGAAGGGGUGAUCAACCAGCAGUCCCCUCCUGCCAGCCCGCGAGAUUUCCAGAGGAUGCAGGACAUUCCCGAGGAGGUUGAGAGCAGCCAGGAACUGAACGUCGGGGACGGCGGCUCAUCAGACAGUUAGAUGGUGUGGGCGGACCAGCCCCACGCCCCCCGAACCGAGCCGACGGCCACCUUUUCUCCAAUCAAAGCCACACCGUGGAUCUUCAGGGACCUGAAAAGGCCGCACCAGACUAACUGUGGGUUGGACUGUGGGUGGGUGAGAGGGCGAGCGGCUGGAAAACCACGUCCUGAGAGAGCAAGGGGAGGGACGGGGGAUCGGGGUCACAGCUCCGCCUGGGGACCGUGACUCGACCGUGGCCUUUGUCAUUUCUCUUUGACGGACGGUGGCUUGGGGAUCUUUUUUGUGGUCACCCUUCAGGUUCUCUUCCUCAGUUCAGGGUGGCAGGGACAGGGCGAGGGAGAUCGGGUGCCCGGAGUGUUGUGAGUCCUGGCAUACCGCCGAUUUAAAAAGACAAACACACACCCCCAUCUCUCUGCCCUGUGUUUUUUAUGCAAUUUAAAUGUAUUUAUUUCGGGAACAGGAGGAAGCUGCCUCCUCCUUCUGAAGGAUCAGUUUAAAUUAUUGUGACUAUGA